CGGUUAAGUCCGCUAACCGAGCGCAACCCUCGCCGUGUGUUAUAUGUGUCACACGGGACUGCCGGUCUUAAGCCGGAGGAAGGUGGGGAUGAUGUCAAGUCAGCAUGGCCUUUAUAUCCUGGGCUACACACACGCUACAAUGGCCAACACAAUAGGUUGCUAAGCCGCGAGGUGGCGCCAAUACCAUAAAGUUGGUCUCAGUUCAGAUUGUAGGCUGCAACCCGCCUGCAUGAAGAUGGAGUUGCUAGUAACCGCAGGUCAGCUAUACUGCGGUGAAUACGUUCCCGGGCUU
rnacentral:rRNA from 1 species